AAAACUCCUCUGCUCUGAAAUGCUCUCAGCCUAACCCUAAUCUCCAAAUGUCGUCACUCAUCUAUGGCCAUCUCCGAUGACCUCUCACCCACCUCUCAGACCUCCAAUGGCCUCUCUCAUGUCACUCUUGCCAUCUCCAUGGACGUCAAGGGACCAAGGCUAGUUGACUUGCAUCUAGGGUUCAUCUCUAGCCUGCUUCAGGCCAUUCCGG
rnacentral:lncRNA from 1 species